rnacentral:rRNA from 1 species
GAUGAACGCUGGCGGCGUGCCUAAUACAUGCAAGUAGAACGCUGAAGGAAGGAGCUUGCUCUUUCCGGAUGAGUUGCGAACGGGUGAGUAACGCGUAGGUAACCUGCCUGGUAGCGGGGGAUAACUAUUGGAAACGAUAGCUAAUACCGCAUAACAGUAGAUGUUGCAUGAUAUCUACUUAAAAGGUGCAAUUGCACCACUACCAGAUGGACCUGCGUUGUAUUAGCUAGUUGGUGAGGUAACGGCUCACCAAGGCGACGAUACAUAGCCGACCUGAGAGGGUGAUCGGCCACACUGGGACUGAGACACGGCCCAGACUCCUACGGGAGGCAGCAGGAGGGAAUCUUCGGCAAUGGACGGAAGUCUGACCGAGCAACGCCGCGUGAGUGAAGAAGGUUUUCGGAUCGUAAAGCUCUGUUGUAAGAGAAGAACGAGUGUGAGAGUGGAAAGUUCACACUGUGACGGUAUCUUACCAGAAAGGGACGGCUAACUACGUG